rnacentral:lncRNA from 1 species
AUGGAUGCUAUCUACGGAAGUCGACCUGCGAGCAAUGGGAGAGAGGGUGCCCUGGACUCGGCCACCUCGUUGUUGGACAACACAAUUGAGGAUGAUGCACUGUCUAUGACUGAAUCGUUAGCACUUUCUCCGUGCAGUGAUGCCUUAGCGUCCCAACUGGUGAUAGCAGCGUCGCCACCAGCACGACCGUCGACACCAGCAACCUCCAGCAGCACCAGCAGGACACCAGAGCGUGUGGUACCAGGCUGCAAAGGCAGCAGAUAUUGGUGGUUCUUCACUGGAUGAUGCUACGAGGAGGAUGAGAUUCCUGAUUUCAAAUGAAUUGGCGAUCCAGUACAAUCUCUUUGGCCGUCUAAGCAAAAGAGGAGAUUUCGAGAUCUGUGCCUCUUUGCCGUCAUAUGUGGUAAAUGUGUUUUUAAUGUUAUUUAAUGUAAUUGAAUGACAUAAUUUUUAUUUUUGGGUGAACUAUCCCUUUAAUAUAUCAAUCUAGAAGUAAAUGCAAAAGUAAAAAGCAUUCAAUAAUGUGUUUCUUUUAUUUCAUUUAAACAAAUCUAUGAAAGAUUGUAUUGCUGUACUGAACGAAUAAUAAUAAUAAAAAAUCACAAAGCUGAAAAAGCAUUUUCAGGAACA